rnacentral:misc_RNA from 1 species
GAGUUAGGGUGUCUGGACCUCCAGCGCUCGACCUCCCAACCCUUUGUCUACUUAACCAUAACGUUGCUUCGGCAGGCCCGCGGACCCCUCUAGUUUCGGCUGGAGGCGACGCCGCCGGGGGUCUCGCGACCCCGGGCCCGCGCCUGUCGAUGGCCCAACCACAAACUCUUGUUAAAACGUGUCGUCUGAGUAAAAACAAAAAUUAAACCAAAACUUUCAACAACGGAUCUCUUGGUUCU